rnacentral:rRNA from 1 species
CCUACGGGCGGCAGCAGUGGGGAAUAUUGGACAAUGGGGGGAACCCUGAUCCAGCCAUGCCGCGUGUGUGAAGAAGGCCCUCGGGUUGUAAAGCACUUUCAGUGAGGAAGAACGCCUGGUGGUUAAUACCCAUCAGGAAAGACAUCACUCACAGAAGAAGCACCGGCUAACUCCGUGCCAGCAGCCGCGGUAAUACGGAGGGUGCGAGCGUUAAUCGGAAUUACUGGGCGUAAAGCGCGCGUAGGUGGCUUGAUAAGCCGGUUGUGAAAGCCCCGGGCUCAACCUGGGAACGGCAUCCGGAACUGUCAAGCUAGAGUGCAGGAGAGGAAGGUAGUAUUCCCGGUGUAGCGGUGAAAUGCGUAGAGAUCGGGAGGAAUACCAGUGGCGAAGGCGGCCUUCUGGACUGACACUGACACUGAGGUGCGAAAGCGUGGGUAGCAAACAGGAUUAGAUACCCCGGUAGUC